rnacentral:rRNA from 1 species
CUCAGGAUGAACGCUGGCGGCGUGCCUAAUACAUGCAAGUCGAGCGAACAGACGAGGAGCUUGCUCCUCUGACGUUAGCGGCGGACGGGUGAGUAACACGUGGAUAACCUACCUAUAAGACUGGGAUAACUUCGGGAAACCGGAGCUAAUACCGGAUAACAUGUUGAACCGCAUGGUUCAACAGUGAAAGACGGUCUUGCUGUCACUUAUAGAUGGAUCCGCGCCGCAUUAGCUAGUUGGUAAGGUAACGGCUUACCAAGGCAACGAUGCGUAGCCGACCUGAGAGGGUGAUCGGCCACACUGGAACUGAGACACGGUCCAGACUCCUACGGGAGGCAGCAGUAGGGAAUCUUCCGCAAUGGGCGAAAGCCUGACGGAGCAACGCCGCGUGAGUGAUGAAGGUCUUCGGAUCGUAAAACUCUGUUAUUAGGGAAGAACAAAUGUGUAAGUAACUAUGCACGUCUUGACGGUACCUAAUCAGAAAGCCACGGCUAACUACGUGCCAGCAGCCGCGGUAAUACGUAGGUGGCAAGCGUUAUCCGGAAUUAUUGGGCGUAAAGCGCGCGUAGGCGGUUUUUUAAGUCUGAUGUGAAAGCCCACGGCUCAACCGUGGAGGGUCAUUGGAAACUGGAAAACUUGAGUGCAGAAGAGGAAAGUGGAAUUCCAUGUGUAGCGGUGAAAUGCGCAGAGAUAUGGAGGAACACCAGUGGCGAAGGCGACUUUCUGGUCUGUAACUGACGCUGAUGUGCGAAAGCGUGGGGAUCAAACAGG